GGGGAUAGUGAGAUUUCAGACAUUUGGCUGAAGAAAACGUCCUUACGGCUUUGUGAUCAUAAAGAGUAGGCUGUUUAAGGUAAUUUGAUUUUUUGAGUACACAUUUAGCACUGUAUGUGCUUUAACAGGGGACUAACUGGAGGAUUCUGAGUAAAACGCACACAAGAACAACAACAGCUGUAGAAAACCCAGAAGAAAAGUUCUCCAGCGGUUGACACCAAAGAAGCUGCUGAAGGUAUAAAAGCACACAGGGUUUAAAAUAGCCGUGAAAAAAAAAGAUCAAAGCUGCAGCAGUCAUAGCAUGAACACAUAUAUGCUGUAUAUAAACACACACACACACACACACACACACACACUCACACACUCAUGCCCUGAAUAGAAGGUUUUGAUGAUUCUUUGAUUGUGAACGAUCAUCUCCUUAUCUUCUGAUCUUCUCGACUGUGACUCUUCAGUCCUCUCUUGCUGACUUCAUCAUGGAGAUCCGUGUGUUCGGACUGGUUUUGUUGUUGGUGUUGUGCGCCGCACUGCCUGCUGAAUCCCAGGACUGGGGGAGAUUCAGAAGGAAGCAUAUUUACCCGAGCAUGGAUGAGAGAAGAUGUACUGACACGAUCAACGACAGGGGAAUCAAUUCUGAUGGCAGAUGCAAAAUGAAGAACAGCUUCAUACUGGCCACAGAUGCUCAGGUUAGGGCUGUAUGUGGGGCCGCCGGCAAGGCUGUGGGUGGGAAUCUUCGUGAAAGCAACAAUCCUUUUCUUGUGGUCACUUGCAGCCUGGAGCCAGGAAGCAACCCAUGUAAAUAUAACGGUCCAAAGAGUACUCGAUGCAUUACAAUAGCAUGUGAGAAGGGUUUUCCCGUGCAUUAUGAGCGUGAAAGACCUGGUCAAUCAGGUCGACCCUGCAAUUAAAAUGCCUAACGUUUGGUAAUGUUCUUCAAACUAAAUACAAUCUCAAAUAAAAUACUUCCUACAUAUACAA